CCCGUCGAAUGAUAUCGGUGACACCUUCCUUUCUUCCCUUUCUCUUCCGUGUGGCUUUCAGUAAAGAACAUUGUUAGGAUACACUAACUACUAGCCAAUGGUUAUUGAACCUGAAGGAUUUGAAGAGUUUUAUCCAAGAAUGAUGAAGAAAAUUUUCAAGAUAAAAGAAGGCUAAUGAAAACAUAUACAGAACAGAACAUAGAGCUGGAAAGGGAGGAAGUGUACCGGAAGAAUGGUGUCAGAUAGACGCGCUUGCAGUGUAAUGGCUAAAAUGAAACAGACCUGGAAUCAGAAAAUGAGAAAACUGAAAAAA